rnacentral:rRNA from 1 species
UACGUAGGCAGCAAGCGUUGUUCGGAGUUACUGGGCGUAAAGAGUGCGUAGGCGGUCUUCUAAGUCUGGUGUGAAAUCUCCUGGCUCAACUGGGAGGGUGCGCCGGAAACUGGAGGGCUUGAGUGUGGGAGAGGGAAGCGGAAUUCCUGGUGUAGCGGUGAAAUGCGUAGAUAUCAGGAGGAACACCUGCGGUGUAGACGGCUUUCUGGACCACGACUGACGCUGAGGCACGAAAGCGUGGGGAGCAAACAGGAUUAGAAACCCCAGUAGUCC